ACUUAACUCGGUUGAUUGCAUACAGUGUGUCCUGUCCAUUUUUAAGCAGCACCACAGCUGUCCGUACCUGUAACCCAUUAUCAUCAUUUAAAUUGGUACCGGUAAUAAGCCCCGGUCUGGCGUCUGCUGAUAAAUACUGUAACUUUUAACCGAAUAUUCAACGACAGGAAGGAACCCAGCACACACUACACAGUCACAGUCUACCUCACACAAGGACAAGAUGCAGCCUUUUCGCACAAGUUUCCAGAUUCUGAACUCACUAAAAUCGUGCCGCCAUUUUUCACAAGUUUCUGGAUUAAAGGAUGUGGUCAUCGUCAGCUCAGUCCGCACGCCGAUCGGCUCCUUCCUGGGCUCCCUGUCCACUGUCCCGGCGACAAAACUGGGAUCUACCGUCAUAGCGGCCGCCGUGGAGAAAGCUGG